rnacentral:rRNA from 1 species
AUUGAACGCUGGCGGCAGGCCUAACACAUGCAAGUCGAGCGGGGGUAGCAAUACCCUAGCGGCGAACGGGUGAGGAAUGCUUGGGAAUCUGCCUGGUAGUGGGGGAUAACGUUCCGAAAGGAACGCUAAUACCGCAUACGUCCUACGGGAGAAAGGGGGGGAUCUUCGGACCUCUCGCUAUCAGAUGAGCCCAAGCGGGAUUAGCUAGUUGGUGAGGUAAAGGCUCACCAAGGCGACGAUCCCUAGCUGGUCUGAGAGGAUGAUCAGCCACACUGGAACUGAGACACGGUCCAGACUCCUACGGGAGGCAGCAGUGGGGAAUAUUGGACAAUGGGCGAAAGCCUGAUCCAGCCAUGCCGCGUGUGUGAAGAAGGCCUUCGGGUUGUAAAGCACUUUAAGCGAGGAGGAAGGUUCGUCACCUAAUACGUGACGGAAUUGACGUUACUCGCAGAAUAAGCACCGGCUAACUCUGUGCCAGCCGCCGCCGUAAUAC